GAGAAGGCUAGGUGGGCCUGGCGACGGUUGUCCAGGUUCAAGUGCGUAGGCUUAAGAGUUAGGUAAAUCCGGCUCUUUUUAAGGCUGAGACACGACGUCGAGCUGCUACGGCAGUGAAGUCAUUGAUGCCAUGCUUCCAGGAAAAGCCUCUAAGCUUCAGAUUGUAAGGAAUCGUACCCCAAACCGACACAGGUGGUCGGGUAGAGAAUACCAAGGCGCUUGAGAGAACUCGGGUGAAGGAACUAGGCAAAAUGGUACCGUAACUUCGGGAGAAGGUACGCUCUUGAUGGUGAAGUCCCUUGCGGAUGGAGCUGACGAGAGUCGCAGAUACCAGGUGGCUGCAACUGUUUAUUAAAAACACAGCACUGUGCAAAAUCGUAAGAUGACGUAUACGGUGUGACGCCUGCCCGGUGCCGGAAGGUUAAUUGAUGGGGUUAGACUUCGGUCGAAGCUCUUGAUCGAAGCCCCGGUAAACGGCGGCCGUAACUAUAACGGUCCUAAGGUAGCGAAAUUCCUUGUCGGGUAAGUUCCGACCUGCACGAAUGGCGUAAUGAUGGCCACGCUGUCUCCACCCGAGACUCAGUGAAAUUGAAAUCGCUGUGAAGAUGCAGUGUACCCGCGGCUAGACGGAAAGACCCCGUGAACCUUUACUACAGCUUGGCACUGAACAUUGACCCUACAUGUGUAGG
rnacentral:rRNA from 1 species